AACGAACGCUGGCGGCAUGCCUAACACAUGCAAGUCGAACGAGACCUUCGGGUCUAGUGGCGCACGGGUGCGUAACGCGUGGGAAUCUGCCCUUGGGUUCGGAAUAACAGUUAGAAAUGACUGCUAAUACCGGAUAAUGUCUUCGGACCAAAGAUUUAUCGCCCAGGGAUGAGCCCGCGUAGGAUUAGCUAGUUGGUGAGGUAAAGGCUCACCAAGGCGACGAUCCUUAGCUGGUCUGAGAGGAUGAUCAGCCACACUGGGACUGAGACACGGCCCAGACUCCUGCGGGAGGCAGCAGUGGGGAAUAUUGGGACAAUGGGCGAAAGCCUGAUCCAGCAAUGCCGCGUGAGUGAUGAAGGCCUUAGGGUUGUAAAGCUCUUUUUACCCGGGAUGAUAAUGACAGUACCGGGAGAAUAAGCCCCGGCUAACUCCGUGCCAGCAGCCGCGGUAAU
rnacentral:rRNA from 1 species